rnacentral:rRNA from 1 species
CUCCAGACUCCUACGGGAGGCAGCAGUGGGGAAUAUUGCACAAUGGGGGAAACCCUGAUGCAGCGACGCCGCGUGAGCGAUGAAGUAUUUCGGUAUGUAAAGCUCUAUCAGCAGGGAAGAAAAUGACGGUACCUGACUAAGAAGCCCCGGCUAACUACGUGCCAGCAGCCGCGGUAAUACGUAGGGGGCAAGCGUUAUCCGGAUUUACUGGGUGUAAAGGGAGCGUAGACGGCUUGGCAAGCCAGAUGUGAAAGGCCGGGGCUCAACCCCAGGACUGCAUUUGGAACUGUCAUGCUAGAGUGUCGGAGAGGCAGGCGGAAUUCCUAGUGUAGCGGUGAAAUGCGUAGAUAUUAGGAGGAACACCAGUGGCGAAGGCGGCCUGCUGGACGAUGACUGACGUUGAGGCUCGAAAGCGUGGGGAGCAAACAGGAUUAGAUACCCGAGUAUC